AUACGAACCGGACAAACGUUAUUCGGAAUUAUUGGGCUUAAAGGGUGCGUAGGCGGCGCGGUAAGUGAGGUGUGAAAGCCCACGGCUCAACCGUGGAAUUGCGCUUCAUACUGCCGUGCUAGAGGGAGACAGAGGUAAGCGGAACUGAUGGUGGAGCGGUGAAAUGCGUUGAUAUUAUCAGGAACACCGGUGGCGAAGGCGGCAACCUGGAUAUUUUCUGACGCUGAGGUGCGAAAGCGUGGGUAUCGAACAGAAUUAGAAACCCGAGUAGUCC
rnacentral:rRNA from 1 species